rnacentral:rRNA from 1 species
GAUGAACGCUGGCGGCGUGCCUAAUACAUGCAAGUCGAGCGAACAGAUAAGGAGCUUGCUCCUUUGACGUUAGCGGCGGACGGGUGAGUAACACGUGGGUAACCUACCUAUAAGACUGGAAUAACUCCGGGAAACCGGGGCUAAUGCCGGAUAACAUUUAGAACCGCAUGGUUCUAAAGUGAAAGAUGGUUUUGCUAUCACUUAUAGUUGGACCCGCGCCGUAUUAGCUAGUUGGUAAGGUAACGGCUUACCAAGGCAACGAUACGUAGCCGACCGGAGAGGGUGAUCGGCCACACUGGAACUGAGACACGGUCCAGACUCCUACGGGAGGCAGCAGUAGGGAAUCUUCCGCAAUGGGCGAAAGCCUGACGGAGCAACGCCGCGUGAGUGAUGAAGGGUUUCGGCUCGUAAAACUCUGUUAUUAGGGAAGAACAAACGUGUAAGUAACUGUGCACGUCUUGACGGUACCUAAUCAGAAAGCCACGGCUAACUACGUGCCAGCCGCCGCAGUAACAC